AUCCGAAUGACGAGUCAAAAAUAGGACAAAACACGUGUCUUGGAU
rfam:Schistosoma haematobium scaffold264_2, whole genome shotgun sequence.